GAUGAAGAACGUAGUGAAAUGCGAUACGUAGUGUGAAUUGCAGAAUUCAGUGAAUCAUCGAAUCUUUGAACGCACAUUGCGCCCUUUGGUAUUCCAAAGGGCAUGCCUGUUCGAGCGUCAUUUGUACCCUCAAGCUUUGCUUGGUGUUGGGCGUCUUGUCUCCAGUCCGCUGGAGACUCGCCUUAAAGUCAUUGGCAGCCGGCCUACUGGUUUCGGAGCGCAGCACAAGUCGCACUCUUUUCCAGCCAAGGUCAGUGUCCAACAAGCCUUUUUUCAACUUUUGACCUCGGAUCUGGUAGGGAUACCCGCUGAACUUAAGCAUAUCAAUAAGCGGAGGA
rnacentral:misc_RNA from 1 species